CGCACGUGUUCCCCUCCCCUGCUUCCAUUCUUCGUUCGCUCUCUCAAGCGCACACUGCACAUCGGAAAAUCGCAAAUUCCCCUAACUAUCCAUUUCCUCGGCCUCCCGACGCAUUCCGCAUUGCCGCAAUCUUCUCCGAGCACGGAUCUGGGAGCUUCCUCGUCGAUUCGGAUCUCAAUGCGGUGUUCUCCAUCAUCGAUCUGAGAGUUCUGUUUUUAGCUUGGGGAGAUGUUUGAGAAGCUUCCUCGUCGAUUCGGGAGCUUCCCCGAGCACGGAUCUGGGAGCUUCCUCGUCGAUUCGGAUCUCAAUGCGGUGUUCUCCAUCGUCGAUCUGAGAGUUCUGUUUUUAGCUUGGGGAGAUGUUUGAGAAGCUUUUUCGUAGAUGAGGAGUGAUUUGGCUCAUCCGAUUUUUGGAAAGUCAUAAUUUUGUUUCGAUAUGUGGGAGUGAAUGAGGCGAUUCGUAAUUAUUUAGGAAUGUUAAAUCUGUGCAUCUCUUGGACGCUUUCGGGAGCUAUUGAGAUUAAUAUAAUAUACGGGUGAUAUUUGGGUGCUUGGGGGUUUUGUCUGAUGCGACUGUCUCGGGUGUGCGGUCUCCGUCGAGCUUAAAUAAGUCGAUCUCGGUAUGUGUUGGCUUCAAGAUUGCAGCUUCUUGGGGGUAGGUUAAGGAAGUGCUCUCUAUUUCCUAUGCCAAGGGAAGGGUGAAAAGGACGGUUUUGACUCUAGAAUUUAGUUUCUAAUUGGACAAACAAGAUACUCUUUGUAGAGGCUGCUUUACUGUGGGGAGAACUAGUGGCCUCAAGGUUCUCCAUUUAUUAGGUCUAGGUGGAGAACUUGAUAAAUUAUUAUUCACUACUUCUUUUAGAAUGGUAAGUAUGGAGUUAGUACCUUGAAGACAAAUUUUUUGGAAAUGAGAAGUUCCAGAAGGUCUGCUGUUUUUGUAUAUUGAUGUCGGUGGCGCUUCUGCAAUAUUUGCCUUGCGAGCUGAGUUUGGGAAGUACAUGUUGUGUCCAGUUCUUAUAACUGGGUACCAAUUAUAGUCGAUGGAAAUUAUUUGUGAGUAUAGAGGCGAACUAUUUGAGUGUCAGAAUUGGAAUCUGAUAUAUACCAGAGGAUGAAAUUGGGUUAUUAAAUGCAUUUGGGGCAUUGCCAUACCCAACUUACGACCUUUGGUUCGUCGAGCUGUUUAAGUUAGUGGGUGGAACCCUGGAGUUAAUGGGACAUAGAACCAUGUUGCAGAAACUGGACUCCUUAUUGGUCCAGUGUGGCUGGGCUUAUCUGGAGCUAUGAGAUUUUUGGGGUGUUCACAAGCAAAGGGUCUAUAAGGAGUCCUUAUCUACAUAACAACACAAACGCAUAUGCAAACACACUAACUGUGCUUCCACCAUCUUUGAGGGUUUCAUGGAGAUAAUGGAGAAGCAUAUACAACUGUAGUGGAUAGGUUUCCAAAAUGUGAGCAUCCAGUUAUUCUGAAUUUUUGAGUAUCGGUAGAAAAUACAAUGUAUGCAUUUGAUAUAAAUGUAAAAGACUUGUUCAUGUUUUCUUUCGGUAGUAUUUUAUUGAUAUGUUUGUCUUUUGUUUCUUCGGGGAUUCCAGAAUUAUUUUUGAUUUCUUCUCCACUGUAUUUUGUAAAUUAAGUGCAUGAAUAUUUGUCUUAGCACUGCUUGUUACCGCUUUACUUCUAGGUUUAUUUAUUUUUUUAUUUUAUAACACAAGGAUAUUCCCGUUUAUCUGUUUAUUGUGG